rnacentral:rRNA from 1 species
UAGGGAAUAUUGGGCAAUGGAGGCAACUCUGACCCAGCCAUGCCGCGUGCAGGAUGAAGGCGCUCAGCGUUGUAAACUGCUUUUACUGGUGAAGAAAACUUACCCUGCGGGGUAAAUUGACGGUAUCCAGGGAAUAAGCACCGGCUAACUCCGUGCCAGCAGCCGCGGUAAUACGGAGGGUGCAAGCGUUGUCCGGAUUUAUUGGGUUUAAAGGGUGCGUAGGUGGUUUUCUAAGUCUGGUUUGAAAGCAAGCGGCUUAACCGUUUGAUGUGGCUGGAAACUGGGGAACUUGAAUGGGUUGGCGGUAGCCGGAAUGGGUCAUGUAGCGGUGAAAUGCAUAGAUAUGACCCGGAACACCGAUUGCGAAGGCAGGCUACUACGACUUGAUUGACACUGAGGCACGAGAGCAUGGGUAGCGAACAGG